rnacentral:rRNA from 1 species
GAUGAACGCUAGCGGGAGGCCUAACACAUGCAAGCCGAGCGGUAGAGUUCCUUCGGGGACUUGAGAGCGGCGCACGGGUGCGGAACACGUGUGCAACCUGCCUUUAUCUGGGGGAUAGCCUUUCGAAAGGAAGAUUAAUACCCCAUAAUAUAUUGAUUCGCAUGGAUUGAUAUUGAAAACUCCGGUGGAUAAAGAUGGGCACGCGCAAGAUUAGAUAGUUGGUGAGGUAACGGCUCACCAAGUCAGUGAUCUUUAGUGGGCCUGAGAGGGUGAUCCCCCACACUGGUACUGAGACACGGACCAGACUCCUACGGGAGGCAGCAGUGAGGAAUAUUGGACAAUGGGUGAGAGCCUGAUCCAGCCAACCCGCGUGAAGGAUGACGGCCCUAUGGGUUGUAAACUUCUUUUGUACAGGGAUAAACCUAGAUACGUGUAUCUAGCUGAAGGUACUGUACGAAUAAGCACCGGCUAACUCCGUGCCAGCAGCCGCAGUAAUAC